rnacentral:rRNA from 1 species
UCCCCCGGCGAUGUCCGAAUGGGGAAACCCAGUGCAAUUCGUUGCACUAUCGUUAACUGAAUACAUAGGUUAACGAGGCGAACCGGGGGAACUGAAACAUCUAAGUACCCCGAGGAAAAGAAAUCAACCGAGAUUCCCCCAGUAGCGGCGAGCGAACGGGGAGCAGCCCAGAGUCUGAAUCAGCUUGUGUGUUAGUGGAACGGUCUGGAAAGUCCGACGGUACAGGGUGAUAGUCCCGUACACCAAAAUGCACAGGYUGUGAACUCGAAGAGUAGGGCGGGACACGUGGUAUCCUGUCUGAAUAUGGGGGGACCAUCCUCCAAGGCUAAAUACUCCUGACUGACCGAUAGUGAACCAGUACCGUGAGGGAAAGGCGAAAAGAACCCCGGCGAGGGGAGUGAAAAAGAACCUGAAACCGUGUACGUACAAGCAGUGGGAGCACCUUCGGGUGUGACUGCGUACCUUUUGUAUAAUGGGUCAGCGACUUAUAUUCUGUAGCAAGGUUAACCGUAUAGGGGAGCCGCAGGGAAACCGAGUCUUAACUGGGCGUUAAGUUGCAGGGUAUAGACCCGAAACCCGGUGAUCUAGCCAUGGGCAGGUUGAAGGUUGGGUAACACUAACUGGAGGACCGAACCGACUAAUGUUGAAAAAUUAGCGGAUGACUUGUGGCUGGGGGUGAAAGGCCAAUCAAACCGGGAGAUAGCUGGUUCUCCCCGAAAGCUAUUUAGGUAGCGCCUCGUGAAUUCAUCUUCGGGGGUAGAGCACUGUUUCGGCUAGGGGGUCAUCCCGACUUACCAACCCGAUGCAAACUACGAAUACCGAAGAAUGUUAUCACGGGAGACACACGGCGGGUGCUAACGUCCGUCGUGAAGAGGGAAACAACCCAGACCGCCAGCUAAGGUCCCAAAGUCAUGGUUAAGUGGGAAACGAUGUGGGAAGGCACAGACAGCCAGGAUGUUGGCUUAGAAGCAGCCAUCAUUUAAAGAAAGCGUAAUAGCUCACUGGUCGAGUCGGCCUGCGCGGAAGAUGUAACGGGGCUAAACCAUGCACCGAAGCUGCGGCAGCGACACUAUGUGUUGUUGGGUAGGGGAGCGUUCUGUAAGCCUGCGAAGGUGWSCUGUGAGGSWUGCUGGAGGUAUCAGAAGUGCGAAUGCUGACAUAAGUAACGAUAAAGCGGGUGAAAAGCCCGCUCGCCGGAAGACCAAGGGUUCCUGUCCAACGUUAAUCGGGGCAGGGUGAGUCGACCCCUAAGGCGAGGCCGAAAGGCGUAGUCGAUGGGAAACAGGUUAAUAUUCCUGUACUUGGUGUUACUGCGAAGGGGGGACGGAGAAGGCUAUGUUAGCCGGGCGACGGUUGUCCCGGUUUAAGCAUGUAGGCUGGUURUCCAGGCAAAUCCGGAUAAUCAAGGCUGAGGUGUGAUGACGAGGCACUACGGUGCUGAAGUAACAAAUGCCCUGCUUCCAGGAAAAGCCUCUAAGCAUCAGGUAACAUCAAAUCGUACCCCAAACCGACACAGGUGGUCAGGUAGAGAAUACCAAGGCGCUUGAGAGAACUCGGGUGAAGGAACUAGGCAAAAUGGUGCCGUAACUUCGGGAGAAGGCACGCUGGUGUGUAGGUGAAGYCCCUGCGGRUGGAGCUGAGACCAGUCGAAGAUACCAGCUGGCUGCAACUGUUUAUUAAAAACACAGCACUGUGCAAACACGAAAGUGGACGUAUACGGUGUGACGCCUGCCCGGUGCCGGAAGGUUAAUUGAUGGGGUUAUCCGUAAGGAGAAGCUCUUGAUCGAAGCCCCGGUAAACGGCGGCCGUAACUAUAACGGUCCUAAGGUAGCGAAAUUCCUUGUCGGGUAAGUUCCGACCUGCACGAAUGGCGUAAUGAUGGCCAGGCUGUCUCCACCCGAGACUCAGUGAAAUUGAACUCGCUGUGAAGAUGCAGUGUACCCGCGGCAAGACGGAAAGACCCCGUGAACCUUUACUAUAGCUUGACACUGAACAUUGAGCCUUGAUGUGUAGGAUAGGUGGGAGGCUUUGAAGCGUGGACGCCAGUCUGCGUGGAGCCAACCUUGAAAUACCACCCUUUAAUGUUUGAUGUUCUAACGUUGGCCCCUKAYCGGGGUUGCGGACAGUGUCUGGUGGGUAGUUUGACUGGGGCGGUCUCCUCCCAAAGCGUAACGGAGGAGCACGAAGGUUAGCUAAUCCUGGUCGGACAUCAGGAGGUUAGUGCAAUGGCAUAAGCUAGCUUGACUGCGAGCGUGACGGCGCGAGCAGGUGCGAAAGCAGGUCAUAGUGAUCCGGUGGUUCUGAAUGGAAGGGCCAUCGCUCAACGGAUAAAAGGUACUCCGGGGAUAACAGGCUGAUACCGCCCAAGAGUUCAUAUCGACGGCGGUGUUUGGCACCUCGAUGUCGGCUCAUCACAUCCUGGGGCUGAAGUAGGUCCCAAGGGUAUGGCUGUUCGCCAUUUAAAGUGGUACGCGAGCUGGGUUUAGAACGUCGUGAGACAGUUCGGUCCCUAUCUGCCGUGGGCGCUGGAGAAUUGAGGGGGGCUGCUCCUAGUACGAGAGGACCGGAGUGGACGCAUCACUGGUGUUCGGGUUGUCAUGCCAAUGGCACUGCCCGGUAGCUAAAUGCGGAAGAGAUAAGUGCUGAAAGCAUCUAAGCACGAAACUUGCCCCGAGAUGAGUUCUCCCUGAGACUUUAAGUCUCCUGAAGGAACGUUAAAGACGAUGACGUUGAUAGGCCGGGUGUGUAAGCGCAGCGAUGCGUUGAGCUAACCGGUACUAAUGAACCGUGAGGCUUAACCU